GACGGAAGGUGCAAGCGUUGCUCGGAAUCACUGGGCGUAAAGGGUGCGUAGGCGGCUUGGUAGGUCUGGUGUGAAAGCCCCGGGCUCAGCCCGGGAAGGGCACUAGAAACUGCCAAGCUAGAGUGCCGGAGGGGAGAGUGGAAUUCCUGGUGUAGCGGUGAAAUGCGUAGAGAUCGGGAGGAACACCAGUGGCGAAGGCGGCUACCUGGACCAGCACUGACACUGAGGCACGAAAGCGUGGGGAGCAAACAGG
rnacentral:rRNA from 1 species